rnacentral:rRNA from 1 species
AGAACGAACGCUGGCGGCAUGCCUAAUACAUGCAAGUCGAACGAACUCUUCGGAGUUAGUGGCGCACGGGUGCGUAACGCGUGGGAAUCUGCCCCUUGGUUCGGAAUAACAGUUGGAAACGACUGCUAAUACCGGAUGAUGACGAAAGUCCAAAGAUUUAUCGCCAAGGGAUGAGCCCGCGUAGGAUUAGCUAGUUGGUGAGGUAAAGGCUCACCAAGGCAACGAUCCUUAGCUGGUCCGAGAGGAUGAUCAGCCACACUGGGACUGAGACACGGCCCAGACUCCUACGGGAGGCAGCAGUAGGGAAUAUUGGACAAUGGGCAAAGCCUGAUCCAGC